UUAGGCCAGCAAUGGAGUGACGCGGAAGGGUAAGCGGACCCGGGCGAUGGUUGUCCCGGGGUAAGCGUGUAGGACGAGAUCUAGGCAAAUCCGGAUCUCACGAAGUCCGAGGCGCGAAGCCGAGCCGAUACAGGCGAAGCCGCUGAACGCCCAAGCCGCCAAGAAAAGCUUCUAGCGAGCUCCUGUGGUGCCCGUACCCCAAACCAACACAGGUGGACAGGUAGAGAAUACUAAGGCGAGCGAGAUAACUCUGGUUAAGGAAUUCGGCAAAAUGGCUCCGUAACUUCGGGAGAAGGAGCGCCCCGGUAGGGUGUAGGACCUCGCGUCCGAAGCUCGAAGGGGUUGCAGAGACCAGGCCCAAGCGACUGUUUACUAAAAACACAGGAGCGUGCGAAGUCGCAAGACGCAGUAUACGCUCUGACGCCUGCCCGGUGCUGGAAGGUCAAGGGGAUAGGUUAGCUCUUCGGAGCGAAGCUUUGAACUCAAGCCCCAGUAAACGGCGGCGGUAACUAUAACCGUUGAACAGAAAACUGAACGGCGGUUGCAAAACCUGGCUAUAUGCUGGAACAUCCGAGUAUCCGACGGUACUCGUUCGGUCCAAAGGUAGAAAUACCGAAGGACAUGAACAGUGAAAAUCCGAUCGGUGCGGACAAUCAGCAGGAAACCGAAGCCACAGAACGACCAAUCGAUCCAUAUCGGAUCGUCAGAGGAUCGCCUCGAGCGAACCGUCUGACGUACCGGAUGCUGGCAACUCAAGCCGGCGGACGGGCAGACCGAAACGAAUCGAGGGUUGGCGUGGAAGACCAUGCAUCCAGGCAUACGUACCGAUCGCAAGAUCGAUGCCAACACGGAAGCACUGGUCCCUGGACAGAACCGAAAGGUGACGUCCUGUAGGGAUCCUCAGAGACUGUACGCUAGGCGCCGCAAUGAGUAGCGGUGAUGAUACAGUCCGAUCCUCAUGGCGACAUGGGGAGCCCGGCAGAAAUGACCGGGCCCGUUACUUCACGUAAUGAAUUCCACGUGGAGUGCGAAGUAACAAGAAUGCCUAAGGUAGCGAAAUUCCUUGUCGGGUAAGUUCCGACCUGCACGAAUGGCGCAACGACUUGGGCACUGUCUCAACCAGAGACUCGGCGAAAUUGCAGUGUGAGUAAAGAUGCUCACUUCCUGCGACAGGACGGAAAGACCCCGGGACCUUUACUGCAACUUGACAUUGGAGUUCGUUAUCAGAUGUGUAGGAUAGGUGGGAGACCGUGAAGCGGUGGCGCUAGCCAUCGUGGAGUCAACCUUGAAAUACCACCCUUCUCAUAAUGGUCUUCUAACCUCGAUCCAUUAUCUGGAUCAGGGACAGUGUCUGGUGGGCAGUUUCACUGGGGUGGUGGCCUCCUAAAAUGUAACGGAGGCGCCCAAAGGUUCUCUCAGUCUGGUCGGCAAUCAGACGUUGAGUGCAAGGGCAAAAGAGAGCUUAACUGCGAGACCUACAAGUCGAGCAGGUUCGAAAGAAGGGCCUAGUGAUCCCUCGGCGGCAUGUGGGUGCGCCGAGGCCAACGGCUAAAAGGUACCCCGGGGAUAACAGGCUUAUCCUGCCCAAGCACAUCGACGGGGAAGUUUGGCACCUCGAUGUCGGCUCGUCUCAUCCUGGGGCUGAAGCAGGUCCCAAGGGUCGGGCUGUUCGCCCGUUAAAGAGGCACGCGAGCUGGGUUUAGAACGUCGUGAGACAGUUCGGUCCCUAUCUGUUGUGGGCGGAGGUGAUUUGAGAGGGCCUGUCUCUAGUACGAGAGGACUGAGAUGGACGGACCGCUUGUGUGCCGGUUGUCGCGCCAGCGGCAGUGCCGGGUAGCUACGUCCGGUUUAGAUAACCGCUGAAAGCAUCUAAGCGGGAAGCUAGCCUCAAGAUUAGAUCACACGGAGGGUAACCUCCCUAAAGGCCACUUAAAGACUAUGAGUUUGAUAGGCUGGGUGUGGAAGGGCUGUAAGGCCUGAAGCUAACCAGUACUAAUCGGCCGUGAGACUUAACA
rnacentral:rRNA from 1 species